AAAAUUUUUUUUUGUUUAAAUCAGAGGCCUUAAAAGGAUGGAAACUGGACCCUGGGGGUGGGGGUGCCUGGGGUAUGCAAUCUCUGCCUCACCACUCUCCUGUCAACAGUCAUUUGGCUUAUUUCCAUAUUCUUUUUUUUUAAGUAGGCUCCCUGCCCAAUAUGGGGCUCGAACUCAUGACUCUGAGAUCCAGGAGUCACAUGCUCCACUGACUGAGUCAGCCAGACGGCCCUCCAUAUUUCUACUAUUCCAUAAUUUUGGCGAUGAACAUUCUUAUGAGUUUCUUAGAGAAUAUGACUGAGUGGGACUGCUAAGCCAUAAGUUUCUCCUCAGUGGAAGUGCACACUGUGAGAAGGUUAAGAGUGCCCCUCGGAAGUCAGCUGGGAGCUUCUGCCCUGCUCACGCCUGAGCUUGAAUGAUGUUUCCUUGUUUCUUGUAUCCAGAAAGUGCCACAGCUUCUGGCGGCUUCUGACGGAGAGAGGCUUGGUACCUGAAUGAAGAACGUUCAUGAUACGUUGACCAGCCUCUCUUCAUCUUUGAAGAAUCUAGGACACGGUGGCAGAUGAUGUCCUGUCUUUGGAGCUCUCCAAAGAAACAGAUUCAACAGGUCUGUUGGUGUAUAUAUAAGCAUAUACCAAUAGGAAAUGUAUAUACACGGAGAGAGAGAUUCAUUACAAGGAAUUAACUCACACAGUCAGGGAGGCUGGCGAGUCCUAAGAUCUACAGGGUGAGUCAGCAAGCUUGGGACCCAAGAGAGCCAAUGGUUUGUUCAAGCGCAAGCCUGAAGGUCCAACAACCGGGAGAACCGAUAGUGUAGUUCUAGACCAGUCCAGAAGCUGGUAGGCUCAGGACUCAGUUUGAGUCUGAAGGUGGGAUAAAAGCCAAAGCCUCAGUGCAAGGAAAGUCAGGCAGGAAAACUCUUAUUUGGGACGGGGUCAGCCUUUUGGUUCUAUUCGGGCCUUCACUUGAUUGGACAAGGCCCACCCACACUGGGGAGGGCAAUCUGCUUUACUCAAAGUUCACCAAUUUAUAUGUUAAUCUCACUCAAAAACACCCUCACAAAAACAUCUAGAAUAAUGUUUUGCCAAAUAUCUGGGCACCCCACGGCCCCGUCAAGCCAAUACAUAAAAUGAUGGGAACCAUCACACUUCCCAACACCAUGCAGACUCAGGUGCACAUUCUAAGCCAUCAUGAUCAGUCCGCCCCUUUGCCGGUGGUUACUUCCAGGGGGGCAGCCCUAAGCUGUUUGGUACAUGAGGUGUGAACCCUGCUCUUAGGGCUGCUAGGAAAAUCUCCCUUCAUCCGAAGAGCGAAGAGCCUGCUCAUGAUACAGU